rnacentral:rRNA from 1 species
AUUGAACGCUGGCGGCAGGCUUAACACAUGCAAGUCGAGCGGGGGAGGUUGCUUCGGUAACUGACCUAGCGGCGGACGGGUGAGUAAUGCUUAGGAAUCUGCCUAUUAGUGGGGGACAACAUUCCGAAAGGGAUGCUAAUACCGCAUACGCCCUACGGGGGAAAGCAGGGGAUCUUCGGACCUUGCGCUAAUAGAUGAGCCUAAGUCGGAUUAGCUAGUUGGUGGGGUAAAGGCCUACCAAGGCGACGAUCUGUAGCGGGUCUGAGAGGAUGAGCCGCCACACUGGGACUGAGACACGGCCCAGACUCCUACGGGAGGCAGCAGUGGGGAAUAUUGGACAAUGGGCGGAAGCCUGAUCCAGCCAUGCCGCGUGUGUGAAGAAGGCCUUUAGGUUGUAAAGCACUUUAAGCGAGGAGGAGGCUCUUAAGGUUAAUACCCUUGAUGAGUGGACGUUACUCGCAGAAUAAGCACCGGCUAACUCUGUGCCAGCCGCCGCGGUAAGAC